AAGACCUUGUGCUUUUGGAGCGGCCGAUGCCUGAUUAGCUUGUUGGUAAGGUAAAAGCUUACCAAGGCUUCGAUCAGUAGCUGGUCUGAGAGGACGACCAGCCACACUGGGACUGAGACACGGCCCAGACUCCUACGGGAGGCAGCAGUGGGGAAUUUUGGACAAUAGGGGCAACCCUGAUCCAGCCAUGCCGCGUGAGUGAAGAAGGCCUUCGGGUUGUAAAGCUCUUUCAGCCGGAACGAAACGGUUACGGAUAAUACCCGUGACCACUGACGGUACCGGAAGAAGAAGCACCGGCUAACUACGUGCCAGCAGCCGCGGUAAUACGUAGGGUGCAAGCGUUAAUCGGAAUUACUGGGCGUAAAGCGUGCGCAGGUGGUUUUGUAAGUCAGAUGUGAAAGCCCCGGGCUCAACCUGGGAACU
rnacentral:rRNA from 1 species